rnacentral:rRNA from 1 species
UCCGGUUGAUCCUGGCAGAGGCCACUGCUAUCAGAGUUCGAUUAAGCCAUGCGAGUUGAGAGGUGCAAGACCUCGGCAUACUGCUCAGUAACACGUGGACAAUCUAACCUACGGAAGGGGAUAACCCCGGGAAACUGGGGAUAAUACCCUAUAGACUAUGGAUGCUGGAAUGCUCUGUAGUCGAAAGGUCCGCCGCCGUAGGAUGGGUCUGCGGCCGAUUAGGUUGUUGUUGGGGUAACGGCCCAACAAGCCUGUAAUCGGUACGGGUUGUGGGAGCAAGAGCCCGGAGAUGGAUUCUGAGACACGAAUCCAGGCCCUACGGGGCGCAGCAGGCGCGAAAACUUUACAAUGCGGGAAACCGUGAUAAGGGAACUCUGAGUGCCCGUAAAAUCGGGCUGUCCAUCAGUUUAAAUAACUGGUGAAGAAAGGGCCGGGCAAGACCGGUGCCAGCCGCCGCGGUAAUACCGGCGGCUCGAGUGGUGGCCACUAUUACUGGGCUUAAAGCGUUCGUAGCUGGUUUGUUAAGUCUCUGGGGAAAUCUUCCGGCUUAACCGGAAGGCGUCUCAGGGAUACUGGCAGACUAGGGACCGGGAGAGGUGAGGGGUACUCCAGGGGUAGGAGUGAAAUCCUGUAAUCCUUGGGGGACCACCUGUGGCGAAGGCGCCUCACCAGAACGGCUCCGACAGUGAGGGACGAAAGCUGGGGGAGCAAACCGGAUUAGAUACCCGGGUAGUCCCAGCUGUAAACGAUGCGCGUUAGGUGUAUCGGUGACCACGAGUCACCGAGGUGCCGAAGAGAAAUCGUGAAACGUGCCGCCUGGGAAGUACGGUCGCAAGGCUGAAACUUAAAGGAAUUGGCGGGGGAGCACCACAACAGGUGGAGCCUGCGGUUUAAUCGGACUCAACGCCGGGAAACUCACCAGAUAAGACAGCUGAAUGAUAGUCGGGCUGAAGACUCUACUUGACUAGCUGAGAGGAGGUGCAUGGCCGUCGUCAGUUCGUACUGUGAAGCAUCCUGUUAAGUCAGGCAACGAGCGAGACCCA